rnacentral:tRNA from 2 species
CGGGGCGUAGCUUAGCUUGGUAGAGCGCCUGGUUUGGGACCAGGAGGUCGGAGGUUCAAAUCCUCUCGCCCCGA